GACGAACGCUGGCGGCGUGCCUAAUACAUGCAAGUAGGACGCAGUUGCGAACGGGUGAGUAACGCGUAGGUAACUACCUAUUAGAGGGGGAUAACUAUUGGAAACGAUAGCUAAUACCGCAUACUAGUAGAUGGACCUGCUUGGUAUUAGCUAGUAGGUAGGGUAAUGGCCUACCUAGGCAACGAUACAUAGCCGACUGGGUAUGGAGGUCGGGCAAACUGGGAAUGAGAAACGGGCCAGAACUCUAAGGGAGGGAAGAGUAGGGAAUCUGCGGCAAUGGGGGGAACCCUGACCGAGGAAAGCCGCGUGAGAGGAGAAGGUUUUCGGAGUGUAAAGCUCUGUUGUUAAGGAAGCGUUACUUACACAGAAAGGGACGGCUAACUACGUGCCAGCAGCCGCGGUAAUAC
rnacentral:rRNA from 1 species